rnacentral:rRNA from 1 species
CAGCAGCCGCGGGAAUACGAACCGUACGAACGUUAUUCGGAAUUACUGGGCUUAAAGCGCGUGUAGGCGGGCCGCCACGUCGGUUGCUGAAAUCCCCCGGCUCAACCGGGGAAGUGGCAUCGAUACGAGCGGCCUUGAGGGGGGUAGGGGGAUCUGGAACUUCCGGUGGAGCGGUGAAAUGCGUUGAGAUCGGAAGGAACGCCCGUGGCGAAAGCGAGGUCCUGGACCCUUUCUGACGCUGAGACGCGAAAGCCAGGGGAGCGAACGGGAUUAGAUACCCCGGUAGUCCCUGUCUCUUAUA